UACGUAGGGGCCGAGCGUUGUCCGGAGUUAUUGGGCGUAAAGCGCGCGCAGGCGGCUUCGCGCGCCCGACGUGAAAGCCCCCGGCUUAACCGGGGAGAGUCGUUGGGGACGGCGGAGCUUGAGGGCGGGAGAGGUCGGUGGAAUUCCCGGUGUAGUGGUGAAAUGCGUAGAGAUGUGGAGGAACACCGAUGGCGAAGGCAGCCCCCUGGGUCAAGACUGACGCUCAUGCACGAAAGCGUGGGGAGCAAACAGG
rnacentral:rRNA from 1 species